rnacentral:rRNA from 1 species
UAUAGAGGGUGCGAGCGUUAAUCGGAAUUACUGGGCGUAAAGCGUGCGUAGACGGUUAUUUAAGUCAGAUGUGAAAGCCCCGGGCUCAACCUGGGAAUUGCAUUUGAGACUGAAUAGCUAGGGUACGGUAGAGGGAAGCGGAAUUUCCGGUGUAGCGGUGAAAUGCGUAGAUAUCGGAAGGAACAUCAGUGGCGAAAGCGGCUUCCUGGACCAGUACCGACGUUCAGGCACGAAAGCGUGGGGAGCAAACAGGA